ACACCUCAACUCUUCAUGGUUUUCCAUGAUGAGCUUGGACCUUGGGGGUCCUGCUGGCCUACGGUCAGCUCCUCUAAAAUGAAUCAGCUUGCCAGUGUUUGGUGGCGUCACAGGUGUGAUAACUAUCUACGCUUGUGGCCCCCCACCAGGUAACCUCCAGUGAUGGAGGUUCGCUGGGGCUCAUAAAUGUCUCUCCUCGGUGAGGACAGCUUUUUGAAC
rnacentral:misc_RNA from 1 species